CCUACGGGAGGCAGCAGUGAGGAAUAUUGGUCAAUGGACGAGAGUCUGAACCAGCCAAGUAGCGUGAAGGAUGACUGCCCUAUGGGUUGUAAACUUCUUUUAUAUGGGAAUAAAACGUUCCACGUGUGGGAUUUUGUAUGUACCAUAUGAAUAAGGAUCGGCUAACUCCGUGCCAGCAGCCGCGGUAAUACGGAGGAUCCGAGCGUUAUCCGGAUUUAUUGGGUUUAAAGGGAGCGUAGGUGGAUUGUUAAGUCAGUUGUGAAAGUUUGCGGCUCAACCGUAAAAUUGCAGUUGAAACUGGCAGUCUUGAGUACAGUAGAGGUGGGCGGAAUUCGUGGUGUAGCGGUGAAAUGCUUAGAUAUCACGAAGAACUCCGAUUGCGAAGGCAGUUCACUGGACUGCAAUUGACACUGAGGCUCGAAAGUGUGGGUAUCAAACAGGAUUAGAUACCCGUGUAGUC
rnacentral:rRNA from 1 species